UGGGGAUUGGUGCAGUGGCAGCACACCGGCCUUUGGAGCCGUGGACGGAAGUUCGAAUCUUCCAUCCCCAG
rnacentral:tRNA from 1 species